UACGUAGGGGGCAAGCGUUGUCCGGAUUUACUGGGCGUAAAGAGCGCGCAGGCGGUCGUUCAAGUCGGGGGUGAAAGCCCCCGGCUCAACUGGGGAGGGUCCCGCGAUACUGAUCGACUCGAAGGCAGGAGAGGGUAGUGGAAUUCCCGGUGUAGUGGUGAAAUGCGUAGAUAUCGGGAGGAACACCAGUGGCGAAGGCGACUACCUGGCCUGUUCUUGACGCUGAGGCGCGAAAGCUAGGGGAGCAAACGGG
rnacentral:rRNA from 1 species